CAGGGAUCAGCCCCGCAAGCUCGUGGUUCCUGGUCGGAUUUGUUUCCGCUGCGCCCCGACGGCCCCGACGGGAACUCCUGGCUUGUUUCUUUGCUGUUGCUGUUGAGGUGUAUGAGUUUUCUUUAUGUGUGCUUUGGAGAGGAACCUGCACGGGCAGGGGUACCCGUCUCCUCAGUGUUUCUGUAGAGCUGCUGUCCACAGGUGGCAGCCGCUGUCCAGAGGGAGCCAUUUAUGCUUCAUUGAAUUCAGCCAGUAGUUAGGUCUGCCUCUGGCAGUGAACAGAAGAAAGCAGCCAAGGGUUCACUCCCCCGAGCCAGCACGCAAGGGUGUCCGUGCAGCUGGACUUUCAGGUGUGUCACGCUGGGGCUGAGGCCUCCGGAGGGACUCCUAGAAGGGAGGCGUGCGUGUAAGCGCCAUCCCUCAGCAGCCCACGACCUCGGACGGUUUGCCACUGUGGCCAGUGUUUUAUUGAUGCUUCUGAGGCCAUAGAGCACGCACGGGGAAGUUCUGAGCACACGGAGGACAAGCAGGGCGGUGCUGUGUGGCCGCAGUCAACCCUAAGUAGGGGUCCGAGUGGGGGACGGUCGCUAACACCUCGAUUCCUCAUGUCUGUGUUUCUGCAGCUUGGAGCUUGGAGAGUGUGUGUGAGAGCGACUCGCUGACAGCAACCUCGCAGAAAGUGAUCGAGGUAGAACAGCUCUCAGGUAGGAGCCAGUGGGAGAGGGUUCCCGGGACACUUGGGUUAGGCCUGCUGCUUGGAGGGUGGGGCGGGUGAGUGUGCAAUUGCAAAAGAGAAAGAAAUUGGUGUAAAGAUGUUCGUCGCCUAUGUUCCUAAGGAGGGGGAGCAGGUAUGAGAUGCCCGAAUGUUGGCAUCUGUGCUCACGUUGUGUUGGCGGGCCUCAGUCCCUGGAGCAGAGGGAAGGCCUGGGCACCUGGAGGAAAACCGCGGGUGAUGCUGUGUGACCCGCCGUCACCUCGGGGAAGCCGGGGAAACGGGAGGGCCACUCCUUCUCACGCCUCGCUUCCCCGCGGUGUGUUUCUACAGACUCGGUGGCGGAGCGCACCGACUGCCGCCAGGAUGAGGAGGCUGCAGGAACUCACGACGACGAUGUUGUGGAGGCCGGUGGGAGUGAGAAGACGAGGCAAAGCCCCGGGCUGGGGACAUGAGGACGAGGCGGCCCCAGUACCUGAGGUGGAGGUGGAGGAGGAGGCGGGCCAGCCCCGUGAAAAUGGCCAGGAGGAGUCCUUAGCCAUCGCCUGGGCUGAGCCGGAAGACGAGCCUGGCCCCAAGGUAAGCUCACCUUUCUUGAUGUGAGGUUGGAAAAGGUGCCUCCUUUCUUCUUGGAUGUACCUCCUUCAGAAAUGGAAAUCUGAGAAAGUCCACUGUAGAUGAUAUAUGCAGAUUGCUGUGCGGAGGACUGUUGAGUCCAAGUUUGGUACCAAGCAGUAGCUCCUUCCCCGGGCAUUUGCAAAAGGGACCGCAUCAGUUCCCAAGUGUGCAGUAGGGAGCAUAUGUCUUUGAAGAAGCCGGAAUGUUGUUUUGUCUUGUUUGUCUUUUUUUGCCUUUUCUAGGGCCCUCCCGCGGCAUAUGGAGAUGAGGUUCCCAGGCUAGGGGUCUGAUCGGAGCUGUAGCCACCGGCCUACGCCAGAGCCACAGCAACGUGGAUCCGAGCCUCGUCUGCCACCUACACCACAGCUCAGGGCAGCGCCGGAUACUUCACCCACUGAGCAAGGCCAGGGAUCGAACCCGCAACCUCAUGGUUCUUGGUCCGAUUCGUUAACCAC
ensembl:lncRNA